UCCACAUUCUCACGUUCAGGAGAUAAGUUCAUUGCAAUGGCAAUGGCAAAGGGUAAGGCAGUGUAGUGCUCUUGGUUGUUGCACUUGUGGCUGUGGAGUCAUUCCGCCCAGAGACGUUCCUCACUCUCAAUGAUGGGGAGUCUCAGGACCAUGUAAACGCCUGCAUACCUUCUGGAACUGUUUGUAAUCCUAGCACUUCUCAGUGCUGUUCGCAAAUUUGUGUCCCGCUUGGCAGUUCUGGCCUAGGCGUGUGCUCUUGAGCUAAAGGGUAUUGUAUGCCCUGGGCAGCAAGCUUGGUGCUGGAUUGGACGUUAUUAAUAAUGGUUGUAAUGCACUGUAUGCAAUAAAAGCACUGCCAAGCUGAAGUUGUUCUUGUUAGUUGCACUCACAUUGCAUUUGGAAGACUUUGUAACUACUACAUGUACAUCUUUGAUGUGAAACUUCUCCAUGUCCACAUGUACUUGAAGCACAAGUGAUCCCAGCUUUUUGUGACUAUAUAUAGAUCUUGCGAGUGAGAGUUCAUCUUUACCAUGUAGACUUGCAGACCAUCAAGAUGCUCGAGACCAUCGCUGGGCUGAUAGUACUUAUCUGGAGUCAUGUUCGUACAGUUUCAGCCUCCAGCAGACUUGAGUUUGGGAGGUGCCAGUUUAAACCACUGUGUGGAGAACAAUCAGCUAUUGAAAUUGCACUUGUGCUAGAAGAUUAACUAUACGGACAUUUUCUUGUGAGUUUAUACAAGUUUUAGUGAUUCUUGCUCACGGAGCUCAGAGCAGAUUUUGGAGAUGCUAUGGCAGCUUGCCGAGCACGACGCCAUUGGCUAGGGCUUUGGAGCGGCAGAUCUCUAUGCCGAGCCAGGGAGCAAUCAUGGCGUUGCUUGCUCAUUCGCGCAGGAUCGUUCUGGCAGGUAGCAGUGCGCAUGCUAAGGCAGGAUUUCGGUUAGAGGAUUCUUUAUUUUUUCGUUUUGUCUCAGAUUUGACUACAUUUUAUAGCCGAGAAUCUUGGAGGAGAUCGCAAGAAGCACGACGAUAUUGCCAUCCUCACUGGAGCUGGCCAUGAAGUCC